rnacentral:lncRNA from 1 species
UGGACUGCAGCCUACCAGGCUCCUCUGUCCAUGGGGUUUUCCAGGCAAGUGGAAUGGAGCAGGUUGCCAUUGCCUUCUACCUUACACUGACUGUACUUCCUAAAACAUCCCAAGUAAAGUAGUCUCUCUCCUUUGAUUAUGUAUUUAUUAUAUCUUAAGAACAAAGAUGUUAGGCAGGCGUCUCUUACUAAAAGGUACAAAUCAGUUCUGACAAAAUGACUUGAGAUAAGAUUUUCUAUGAAUAUAUAUUUAUGUUAGAUGCAUAUUACUUUUUUUUAAUUGCCUUUUAGAAUUUGUAGCAUUGCUGCUGUUUGAUAAAUUUAUUGUGAAAUUAAACCAGAAAGGCUUGAGGUUGUCCUUAACGGGCAAAACCGAAUACAGAGGGAACAUGUUCUGUCAGCUCGUAUUAAAAUGUCAAGAGAGCUAACAGAGGCUCCUCUCAAGGACCAAAUUGAACAUAUUUGAGAAAACAGCAUCACUGGGACAGAGGAAUUACUCAGACUUCACUGAGGUCCCUAGGGCAUCGCAAACAGCAUCCCAGAAAGAAAGUGAAAGUGCCCUUAGAGGAGAGAUUAGUGUCAUGCCAAAACUGUGCAUUGUCUGAAGUGAGUGACCUAGAGCAAACAUAAAGAAAGUUACGUGUGAUGUUAUGCUUUCCAGGAAAGUGUUUAUGCGGAACAGGAAUUGUGCAAAUCUCUAUGAGAAUGUGGUCUAUAAAACUGAUUGUGUUUUUUCAAGUUAUUCCAUCUGUAAGCAAUGUGCAUGAAAUAGGUUUUGUUAAAAUAAAGGAAAUUGAAUUCAAGGUGCUCCCUAAAAACUAUCCUAUCAGCAUGAACACCAGCCUAGAAACUAGAUGCAGUCACCUCCCAUAUUUCAUAUUUAAAUUUUCCCCAAUAUCUCAAAAUGUUUCUCAAAUUCAUGAAUCUGUCUACCCAAGCUGUAAGUGUGUAUUACUUUAAAACUUUUCAAGUCAUUUGCCAGACAAGGUAUGAUAAGCAUAGGCUGAAUGGUGCAGUUGUAUGGAUUAUAUGCAAGGGUAUUCCAUU